CAAAUUCAGGGACAUUCAAGUUUUGUAUGGGCACAGUUAACUUUAUAAGCAAUCUAGGAGUGAUAUAUCAUGUAUUGGCCAGAUUCAUGGAUCUCCUUCCCAAAGAAAAACUCUGUGUUUACAUACUGUGAGCUAGCUGCUGUAGCUGGUGGCUCGCUGUCACUAGGUCUGCUAGCUUGAGUACUACCAGCACUUGAACCUCGGGACGUCAAACCAGCGAGGCUGGUAAGACCUGCCAUACCCUGACCACUACCAAGCAACUGUAGCAGCUGUUGUUGGUCCAUGUUACCAAUCAAACCUUGCAGACUUGUGUCACCUA